GCAGCCUUGGCCGAGAGGCGAGGCACCUGAGCGCCACUCAGGACCACGCGGGUUCGACUCCCGCAGGCUGCUUCA
rnacentral:tRNA from 1 species